AUGGCCGGGCGGACACCACUCACCAACGCGGGUGCCGCGACGGAGGCCGACGCGCACAAGCCGGACGUGGCCAUGGUGCAGCUGCGCACCUACAUCUGCACCGAGCUACUCCCCGCCUUCCCCGCCCUCAACACCAGGCGGCUCACCGCCCUCCCCUCCUCCUCCGGCAUCGACCGCAUCAGCCUCCUCCCCGACGCGCUCCUGUGCAACAUCGUCUCCCGCCUCCCCGUCACGGACGCCGCGCGCACCGCCGUUCUCGCCUCGCGCUGGCGCCGGGUCUGGCUAUCCGCCCCCCUCGCGCUAAUCGACGAAUACCUCCGCCCCAGCGGCAACCCGCCGACCGUCACCGCCGCCGUGUCGCAAAUCCUUGAUGCACACCCGGGACCCUUCCGCUUUGUCCACCUCGUCCGCAGCCACAUGGACGCGUGCCAGCCCCAGCUCGCGCGCUGGCUCGAGCUCCUCGCCACCAAGGGCGUCCAAGAGCUCGUCCUUGUGAAUCGCCCGUGGCCACUCGAGGUACCCCUCCCCGCCACGCUCUUCAGCGUCACCACCCUCACCCGCCUCUACAUCGGCAUCUGGAAAUUUCCGGACGUGGCCAGAUUACAGCGUGGCACCUCCUUCCCAUGCCUUCGUGAGCUCGGUGUCUGCACCAUCCUCAUUAAGGACGGAGACAUCGAGGCCCUGGUCGCUAGGAGCCCCGUCUUGGAGAUUCUGAACAUCCAAGGAAGCAACAAAGGGCUGCGCCUUCGCCUCGUCAGCCAGAGCCUCCGGUGCGUGCAAAUCUGUGGCUCUGUUGUAGAGGACAUUGCCGUGGUGAAGGCUCCAUGCCUUGACCGGCUCAUCGUGGAGCAUCCUAGGGACAGUGCCCGUGGUCUGUGUACCAGGGUCAGGAUUGGUGACUGCCCCAAGUUGCACGCAUUAGGAAUUUUGAAGGCAGGAAAUCACAUCCUAGAGAUCCAAGGCACCGUCAUCGUGGCUGGGAUAAAGCCAAGCCCAAGCACCAUGGUGAUGAACGUCAAGAUCCUGAGUUUGAAUGUGUGUUUCGGAGACCACGAUAACAUUAAGAUGCUGACUGCCUUUCUCAGAUGCUUUCCCAAUCUGGAGACGCUGCAUAUCAUGUCCGCAAAAGGUGUCUAUCAAGCUGGCAAUGUCAGGCUCAAUCUCAGGUUCUGGGAGUCGGCCAAGCCCACCAAAAGUGUCGAGUUCUCCAUCAAGGUGAUAUCUUUCUGUGAAUUUCGAGGGGAGCUAGGUGAGGCUGCUUUCCUGAAGUUCUUCUUUCGUAGUGCGAGGGCUCUUGAGAGUGCAAUGAUUACAAUGCGCUCUGGAUCAUUUUCUACGGAUGAGCUAUCUUCUAGAGUGAAACAAGUGUCUCAAAAGAUGGUGAGUAAAUCAUGCAAAAUGAUUGUUCUUGGGAGUGAUGGCCCUGAAGGAGGCAGGCCUUGGAGCUUCAAAAGAGGAACCGAUUACUGCUUCAAGGACCCUUUCUCAGCUGUGGAAUGGGUCGGUUAA
rnacentral:rRNA from 1 species